rnacentral:rRNA from 1 species
AGAUUGAACGCUAGCGGCAGGCUUAAUACAUGCAAGUCGAGGGGCAGCACGGUUAGCAAUAACUGGUGGCGACCGGCGCACGGGUGCGUAACACGUAUACAAUCUACCUUAAACAGGGGGAUAGCCUUUCGAAAGAGAGAUUAAUACCCCGUAAUAAAUUGAACGGCAUCGUUUGAUUUUGAAAGCUCCGGCGGUUUGAGAUGAGUAUGCGUCUGAUUAGCUAGUUGGUGAGGUAACGGCUCACCAAGGCGACGAUCAGUAGGGGACCUGAGAGGACUAACCCCCACACUGGUACUGAGACACGGACCAGACUCCUACGGGAGGCAGCAGUAAGGAAUAUUGGUCAAUGGAGGCAACUCUGAACCAGCCAUGCCGCGUGCAGGAUGACGGCCCUAUGGGUUGUAAACUGCUUUUAUACAAGAGAAAACCCUGGUACGUGUACCAAGUUGAUAGUAUUGUAAGAAUAAGCAUCGGCUAACUUCGUG